UACGUAGGGUGCGAGCGUUGUUCGGAAUUACUGGGCGUAAAGGGCGCGUAGGCGGUUCGAUAAGUCCCGUGUGAAAUCCCUCGGCUCAACUGAGGAAUGGCACGGGAAACUGACGGGCUUGAGUUCGGGAGAGGGAAGCGGAAUUCCGGGUGUAGAGGUGAAAUUCGUAGAUAUCGAGAGGAACACCGGUGGCGAAGGCGGCCUUCUGGACAGUGACUGACGCUGAGACGCGAAAGCGUGGGGAGCAAACAGG
rnacentral:rRNA from 1 species